UACAGAGGGGGCAAGCGUUGUUCGGAAUUACUGGGCGUAAAGGGCGCGUAGGCGGCCUUCUAAGUCGAACGUGAAAUCCCUGGGCUCAACCCAGGAACUGCGUCCGAUACUGGGAGGCUUGAAUCCGGGAGAGGGAUGCGGAAUUCCAGGUGUAGCGGUGAAAUGCGUAGAUAUCGUGGAGGAACACCGGUGGCGAAGGCGGCAUCCUGGACCGGCAUUGACGCUGAGGCGCGAAAGCGUGGGUAGCAAACAGG
rnacentral:rRNA from 1 species